rnacentral:rRNA from 1 species
UACGAAGGGGGCUAGCGUUGCUCGGAAUCACUGGGCGUAAAGCGCACGUAGGCGGCUUUCUAAGUCAGGGGUGAAAUCCUGGAGCUCAACUCCAGAACUGCCUUUGAUGCUGGGAAGCUCGAGUCCGGGAGAGGUGAGUGGAACUCCGAGUGUAGAGGUGAAAUUCGUAGAUAUUCGCAAGAACACCAGUGGCGAAGGCGGCUCACUGGCCCGAUACUGACGCUGAGGCACGAAAGCGUGGGGAGCAAACAGG